UUUAAAAUCUCUCAUGAAUGUUUAUCAUUUAUCAGCUGCAUAAAGCUAGCUGCAAUGUAAACCCUGUCUUGCUAAGUGCCUGUUCUUAAAAAUGAAAUUACAAAACUCUAACUCGACAUGGCUAAGUAUAAAGUGCCCAAGAAACAAACCAAGAGAACACAACUCAGAAAGAAACUGAACGCAAAUGCCAGAAAGCACUGCUAUCCCAAAACACAUGCGCACCAAAGCAACUGGCCAGAGAGAUCCGGAAGAGUUUUCUUUUUUAAAUGAAGAAGGAACAAAACACGACCUCUGCAUUUUCAAAUAAGUCUGACAAACCAAUGAGCCGGCCCAGCGGUGUGGACCGGGGUCUACACAGCAGGCAUCCUGGGAAGCCAGGCAGCCAGACGCCUCCAGCCCCGGGAAGCCACGUGACAGUCACGCGCUGCAGGGUCAAAGCUGGCUCCCUGCCUCUCGGAAUGCAAGACCUACUUAAUUUUGGCAAAACCUAGUAUUUUGGCUCACAGGGGAAAAACGCAUGAGAGAAUGCUUGGGCUCUCCAAAUAUAGGAUUCAGCGGACAGAAAAAGGCAGGGCCCAGCUGGCGGCGGGGCAGCCCCGAGCACAGCCCCUAGGUCUUGGGGCCUCCACGCCUGAAACAGGAGAAAUUCAGUGCCAGCACUCCGCAGACAGAAGCCCAAGUAAGCUCGGAGUUGACACACAGUGACACACAGGACCAGAGCGAGCUGCUCAUCACCAGAGCCGGCAGCCUCCUGCCCAACCAAGGGCAUAGCGUUGAUGACAGCUGCCGCAGGCUGGCUGUGGGAUUCCACGCCAGAGCCCCAAGACUGCCUUCCACAGGAGACAACUCAGCCUUUCACAUCUCGGCUCUGACCAUCGCCCUCCUGGGGGCGCCUGGUGGUGAUGGCCUGGACCUUGACUGUCCCCAAGGUCCACGUGCAGCAGGCUUAGUCUCCACCUGAGGCCACCGAGAGGUGGUGGAACCUUAGGGAGUAGGGGCUUUGCUGUAGGAAGCAAUCACUGGGGUGCCCCAGGUCCUGUCUGCCCUGCCCCCGCUUCUGGGUUUCAGGGUUUCCUGUCCCUAUGAGGUGCUCAAUCUCACAGGGAGGGGAAACCCCCGAGACUAGGAGCCGAAAGGAACCUCUCCUGCUUCUCCGCCCGGAAAGCUGACCACAGCACUCUCCAGCGGGGCUGGUGACCAUGCCCGUGUUCCUGCCCAGCAGGAAGCUCCCUGUGACCAGGACAGACACUAAGACAGGGAGUGGUGAUUAUGGCGCUGUAACAGUGACCAGACGGGAGGACCGAGCGCCAUGCACAGAGGCAGGGUGAGGAGAGCCACGCCGGGCAGGCACAGAUCCGGCCGGCACGGAGCCACAUGGAAAACCUGCCAUCACAGGACUGCGACUGCAGCUUGGCCCCUGGCCUGAAUGACUCACAAGUCUCCCCUAAGAAAGUGACGUGCACAGCAUGCAGUGUUUUCACCCCAAAAAACUUCCUUUGAGCCACUCAGCAAUUUAUUUUCCAUGGGUCUGCAAGCCUGAGGCAUUUGUUCCUCAAAAUAAAACCUCCGCCCUGUGGCUCCGCUAGAGCUGUGGCUCAGCCUUUGAGGGGAACCCCUGAGGGCCACCCCACCCUGCCCUGCCACACCCCAGAAUGCCCACGAGGGAGACAGAGCCAGGGCCCCACAGACUGAACCACAUGCACUCGUGGGAAGUGGAGGGCUCAAUGCACCCCUUUUAUAAGAAGUUCAAAGCAGUUAAAUGUCCCCCUCGACUGAUUCUUGCUACAAGAAAAUGACUCUCAAGGAAACAGGCUGUCUUUGGCUUUGUUUUGUCCUAGUUUUUUUUCUUUUUCGGUACUGGGGUCAAACUCACAACCUCAAGCUUGUCAGGCUGCUGAGCUAACUCCCCAGCCCCUAAAUUACAAUCUUUUGAGACAGACUUUGGGCUAGGCUUGCACUCACUGUGGAACUCAUGGAGAUCCUCCUGCCUCAGCCUCCCAAAUGCUGGGAUUACAGGUAUGCGCAUCACCUGUUGUUUCACCUAUUGUUCUGGCUGGGAUUUCUCGACCCUGGGGAAGGGCAGGCUUACCUGGGCCCCAUAGACGCGCUGCAUGGCCUGCAGCAGCUGGUUGGUGUAGACAGUGAGCGUGCCGGCAUCCUCCUCAAAGACACUCAGCAAAGAGCGGGUCUGCAGGGAGAGUGGGGGGUCAGUCUGUCUUCUACGGUUGUAAUUACACACAUGCACACAUGCAUGCACAUGCACACAUGUGUGUACAAAAGAAACGGAGGGAUGGAGGUGGGGGGGUCUCCGGUUUUCCUCUUGUGGGGGAAGGGAGCUAUAAGAGGGCUCCUUUUCUUUGUCUUUUUUGUUGUUGUUGUUUUUUGAGAGAGGGACUCGCUAUGUAGCCCAGGCUGGCCUCGACCUCUUGAGCAUCCUCCUGCCUCAGCCUCCCAAGGGCUGGGAUGACAGGCAUGCUCCACCUCACCCACUGAGAGCUCCCUGUCUAAACCCUGCAAUGCAGCCAAGGCAGGGCCAGGCCCAGUGCAAUGUGCACCUGGCCCCAGAGUUUGGGGCGGGGCUCAGGUGGAGCUUCGUCAGGCCAUAAAGAGACCCAAGAUGGUAGGGCCAAGCCUGCCUGUCCUCGCCCCACCUCUGCAUCCACCACAGGGACGGGAGGCCCUCUGCGCCGGGUGUGGGAAGCAUCACCGUGCAGCCUGGGCUGCUGGAUUCUGCCCUCGUCCUGGGGUGUCUGCAUCUCCUUUUCAGAUGCCUCUAUGCUUCUCUGUGUCUUUUGUCUUAUUUGAUUCAAUCCACUCUCAGACCCGGGCCAGGAAUUUCACAGUCAGGGCCCACGGUGGGUGCCAGGCAGGGCGAUCCAAGGGGCAGCUCCAGGGCAGGGAGGGACCUCGGUCAGGCAGGCUCAUGAGGGCACCCAGCUCAUACCAGGCACUGGGACCUGCCGUGCGGGAUGACAGGCGGUGCAGUCACACAUGCCAGGCUGUCACCAAAGAGCAUCAGGAGGGACGUGGUGGGGACCUCAAAGGUGACAUCGGUGCCGUGGGCACCGGGCUCUGAGCCGGCCCUGCGAGCAGGCAAGGGCCAAGGACGGACAGCGGAUCACAGAAAGGACCUGCACCAGGCAGCACUGAAGUCCAUGGAGAACAGCCUGUGGGCCCUGCUUUCCUGCAGGUGAAUGCCCAGUCUUCUUCCUUCUUCUGGGCCCUCAGCAAAGGACAGCAAGGGGCCUGUGUUGCCGUGGCCCCAAGAGUGCCACUCUGGGGUGCACAGAAUGUCAACUCCUCCAAGCACUGGGCCCUUGACUUUGCCCACAAGCCUGGGCCCCUCACAGCAAUGUGCUGGUCUUGCCUUGCAGGUGCUGGGUCCAGCUAAGGUGUCCUGUGAGGUACUGCCCACACCAGGCGGCGGAAGCAGUUUCCAGCAGCUCUGGGUGACAGCGAAUCAACAGCCUGGUGCUGGGACAGCGUGCCACUCCUGAUAGAUGGGGCCUCUGAAGUUCCUAAAAUUAAAACCCAGAGUUGGGCACAGAGGUGCAUGCCUGUAAUCCCAGUGCUGGGAGGCUGUGGCAGGAGGAUCCCUACACGUUUGGGGCCAGCCUGGGCUACACAGUGAGUUCGAGGCCAGGCUGCACUACACAGUGAGACCCCAUCUCAAACAAAAAAAGCCAAAAUUAAAGUAAAAAAGAAACUCCAUAGUUCAAAAUACAGCUUAUACCAGAGCUGAACAGAGGCUUCACCAGACACUAUCAACAGAAUGGGUGUAUAUUCUGGUUUCUCGCCCUUCCCUUUAUUCCAUUUAUUAACAAGAAUUGUGGUUGGGACCGUCUGGAUUUCACAGUCCGGUAAUGGAUGACGACCCGCACACGAGUAACGCCCUGAGUGAGAAUUCUUCAUUACAUCUCUUUCAAGUAUACUUUUUCCUUGAAAAACACAUUACUGCAAAGAGAUGUUCACAUGCCCUGGGUGGUCUGUCCCCCAGCGCGGGCCACCAUGCCUGUGUCCCCAACUUCAGCUGUGCUGGGAAUAUAUGUCACUUAUUCUUCAAAACAACUCGGGUCGCUCUGUUUUAAAAUUUGUUUUUGAGACAAGGUCUUGCUAUGUAGCCAGGCUGGUCUGGGAGUCACAGAAUGCCUCCUGCCUCAGCCUCCUGAAGACUAGGAUUACAGGUGUGGUCUAGCACACCUGACUUCAAGGGGCUCUUUUUAUUCUCAGUCCAAACCCAAGCUCAGACAGGGUGAACCUCUUUGCAAAGGCCACAUUCGCGGUGGGAAUUCCAGCCUUUCUCUGUCAUCCCACGCUCCCCACAGUGUCUGAGGCAGGACCCGUGGCAGGGUAUUCCUUUACCUUGGAGUAAAAGCAAACCGGGUGGACCCCAUCACACAGCCCCGGACAUUCUCAACAGUGUGAGGCCAUGAGGCGUUCUGAGUUUAACAAAGUGUGAGGUCAGAAACGAAGUUCUCACAGGCAUGCACAGAGUGAAACGCUAACAGCAGCCAGCCUGGGCUCCGGCCCUAGCGUGUCCCUGCGGCUCAAAGCCAAGGGCCAGCUGUCCCGAGUCCCGGCUGACCCUGGCUGCGCGCACUGGCUGUGCUGGAAUGGAGGCCUCCUUAUCUGCCCCCCGCGGGGACCCAGCCAGCUGUGGGGAGGUGCCCUGCGGGUGGGGCUGGGACACACCGCUGACCUAAAACCACCGCUGGCCCUUGGGGGUAGGUGGAGUCACCCCCAUGCACACGCAGACGGCUCUCCACACUGCUGCCGAGGAGGAGCAGGUGAACCUCCUGGCAGAGGUCGUGCUUCCAUUCAGCUCGUCCUGGGUCACCUGGUUCAGAUACAAAAGCUUUUGUGCUCUUGUCGUUUGUCCUGUGCAGCCUGGUUACUGGAGCAACCCUCCCUCCCACGCUCGCACCUGACACCAGAGGACGCACGCGGUGGACAGUUUCCUAGGAUUCUUCCUCCUCAUGAAACCGCAUUUUAGGUCACACGGACAGAGAAGGAGGGGGCGAGGCAGCUGGGAACGUAAGCGCUUUCCACCUCCACGCAUUCCCUUGCAGCCCAGCAAACCCAUCAGGCCACUCAGAAGCAGUCUCUGCUCACUUCCGUGACAGCCAAGGUUUCGGGAUGCCACCUGUCCUCGAGGACUCAGCUGACACCAAGUCUGGCCAGGAAAGUGACGUUCUGUGUGCAGGACCCCAGACAAAGGCUCGCAAUGUUGGGUAGAAACGUCCCCCUCUUAUACUCAGACCCUUGAAUGGGGUGAUGGGUGAAAUGCCCCCUAACCCGGGUGUGGGUCUGGCUCAGAGCUGCAUACAAGCAGCCUUUGAGAAGCUGGUCAGCCCACAGGGUCUCAAUGAGUACCAGGAGAAACCACAGCCUGCUCGGUUUCCUGCUUGUCCAUGGUGGGGGAGGGGACACAGGUGUGCCCACCCUUGUGGCCCAUCCUGUAGUGGAGAGAAGGAGACCUGACAGAGUUAAGGAUCAAAGGCUUACAGGGCAGGGCUGGGUGGGGCCAGGUCAUCCCACCAGAGGGCCAGGGAGGGAACCCAAAGAAGGGACUGUGGGGCUUCGUCCCACUGAGUCUGCAGGGGUUGAGACUCUGGGGACAAGGAUGCUUGUUGACCACACAGGGACAGAUUCCCCGUGCUGAAUGUGAUCACUGUGCAUAUCUCAACCAUAUCGAUAAACUUCAUUUAAAAAAAUGAAGAUGUUUAUUUAACGCCCCAGGCAGGAGUGGAGACAGGACACUCCUGGGACAGGAGUCUUUCUCCUGGGAGUAGGACGCAGGGGACCUGCAAAAGGAGCGCAGAGCCUAAGAGGGCUGCUCAGGUCACCACACUCAUUGCGUCUGCACCCGGUUUCCAGCCCCACCUCUCAGGACUCUCACCCCGGGCAGAGUGGCAGGCGCUGUGAUCUAAACAGUGCCAAGGCGUGGCCUGGGACGCCUGGGUAGCCUGGGAAAAGGAUCCAGCUUUCUGCUUCCUGUUCUGGACCUUAAAUCCACCAGAUCUCAGCACAGCAGCAGCAGUGAGCUCAGUGCCCAUGGUAGUCAAACUGACCUUCUACUCUGACCCGAACUCCACAGAGACUUUCUCAUCUAAUUCUAACCCAGUCCGAUGUCAUUCCUGUUUUACAGAGACAAAGCCAAAGCACAACCGGUCUGGAUGGUACACGACUGGAAUCCCAACACUCCAGGAAGCUGAGGCAGGAGGAUCACAAAUUCCAGCCCAGUCUGGGCAACUUAGGGAGACUUGGGGGGGUGAAGCUCAGAGUGAAGGGUUCCCUGGGUUCAAACCCCAGUGUUGGAGAAAAAAAAAGAAAAGGUGACGUUGCCUGCCCGGUGAGGUGCACCCCUUUCUAACCAGCCAGAGAGGCGGGGCGGAGACAGCGGGCUGGGCCGCGGGGGGCCUUUGGUCCCCAGCCCUGACCCCAGCUGACCGAGGACGCGGCAGCGCCGGUACCUGGGGGCUGUCCUGCAAGGCCUCCUCCAGCAGGAGCUUGUCCACGGCGGGCAUGGCGCGGCGGGCGAGCGAGGACCGAGGACGCUAACGAGGACGAGGACCGAACGCGGCGGGGACAGCCGAGCUCUGGAGCUCCGAGGACUGCUACAGCUCUGGCUGCCGCGGCCCCGCCCCUCCAUUCAGGGCCCGCCCCUCACGAGCAAGCCACGCCCACCCGCCCUCCGCGCCCCUCCCCACAAUGCAGAUCAACAGGAAGUGUGGCGAGCGCCCGAGAGGAUAGCCGGAAGUGUGGCGGCCUCGCUUCCGGCCGCCUUACCCCGCGCGGGCAGUCCGAAUCCUGUUUGAGCCAGGCGGUCUUCCCUUUCCGGUCCUGGGCCACUCAAUGGCUAGACAGCCUAGGAGGGGCAACUCGAGGGUGGGGAGACAGGGUUUACCUGCUUGCGGCUACUCAGCCGUCGAGUGGAAGACGGGAAAGAGAAGAUUUUGCAGUCAGCUUUUUUUAGGUACUGAGGAUUGAAUCCAGCGAGCGUUCCUUCUUCCUCCCUCUCUCUUUUAUUUGGUUUUGAGACUAGAUCGCCCUGAGUUGUCUAAUCAGGCCUCGAACUCGCCAUCCUACUGACUUGGAUCUGAGAGACAACCCUACACCGCUUCUCACAAGCCGGCUUUAUCGGGUACACGCCAAUUCCCACAAGCAGCUCUGAGAACAGAGAGGUCAUUCGCGUUUGAAAGAAAACUGCGCAGCUCUGAGUCAUCGUAACAUUCAGGAUGAGCCGUUUUAGAAAUCCCAGCUACUUGAUUUGGACCAUGAUAAUUAGAGUCCAUCCUCUUUCCACUUUGGAGAAUUUUAUGUUCAAUAUUUUAGAACUGGAAUGGAGAGGGAAUCUAGUUUGGUGUUGUCAUUUAAAGAUGAGACAGUGGACCCUCUUGAAUCGAAUGAGUUGAUUGGGGUCAGAGAGCGGACGCUACCUACGGGAGCAGAGAGGGAAGGGAGAGGGAUGCGGAGACUGCGAAGGGGAGGUGACAUCCUUUUGUGUCGAAAGCAAGAGUCUCUGAGGUUCCUUCCUAGGAAUCAGUAAUUUUGUGCAACAGAAUACAUUACCAAAACCAACAGGAAGAAUACGAUGCUCCUCAAAGCACACAUUCUUCAGAAACCACCUCCAUGUCAAGAGGACCUGCCAUGCAAACAGCUCCAAGUGGCAGUCUGCAGGCUGGCGUCCUGCCGUGUACAAACACCGGCGACAUUCCCCCGGUUCUGGCCCGGGCUGCCUUCCCCCGGGCUACUGUCUGAUCUCCGACUAUCAUGGUUUCUCCCAACCUAGUCCUACUACUCUCCAGGCAGAAUCUUGCUGCCACCGCGUUGGUUCCUUUUCCUCUUUCUGCCAAGCCUUAAUUUCUCCUGCAGUUUCCCACUAUCUCCAGACCAAAGUCCUCUUCCCCAGCACCAAACUCAAGCCCUUCCUUCUGCCCUUUGUGACUGUAAGACUGAUCCAAGGGUGCGAUUAUACCCAGGGAGAAGACAGGAACACAUUUCCAUUUCAAAGCAGAUGUUGAGAGGCCAAAUGGCAUCCUGGAACCCUUGAAGAGACCCUUUAUUGCCUUGAGAGUCUCUGUAUUUAAGGACCGCCCUGUUUUCUAAUUUAAACGAGGUUUCCUCAAGCACCAAUGUUCAAAAUUGUUGAAUCCAUGUUGUUACACUAUUUUGCUUGAAACUACAUUUCAUUAUUUUUCUGCACUUUAUUACUACAUGAUGAGCUAAAUAGCCUUCAUGUAAUUUCUUGGCACUGAAGUACCAUUUAUAACGUUUCUAGGGGAAACUAGAUACCAAAUACAAAACAAGUUCAAAAUGAAAUGCGAAGCACAUCACACAUAAAAUAGUUUUUAAAAACACAUUCCACUCACUCACUGCGCCUUCCACACUGUCUCUCCUUUAUUUUGCUGUCUUUACUGGUAUUAUGGGCUGUGUAAGAAGAACAUUGGAUAAGCAUAAAAAAUUUUAAAUGCUUCAUUGAGAAAGUAUCCUUUCUAGUAUAGUGAGGGCGAACUUCAGCCAUCCAGCGGACUGUAUCUGGAAUGCAAGGCCGGUGGCCGGAAGUGCACAGGCGGAUGGUUGGAGGGCUGACACCUCUGUGCUCCGAGGAAUUGUAACCUUCCCACUGAAAUGCAGCAGGAAAGGUGGGCAGUGAGACACAAAAGUGGAUGCAGGAGGGCCAGGUCGAAGAAGGCCUGGAACUUGGCAAAUAAGAGAGAAAGCCAGGAAGGAGGUAGGCCCUGCCAGGGAAGGUGCUUGGGGAAAGGCGCUGGGGGUCCACGUGGUAAAGAAAUGCAUUGGGCUGCUUUCCCCAGUUCUCCUCCGUUGACCCCAACUGCAACCUGCAAAGCCCAGCUUAAUGUGACUCUGUGUGUGUGCGUGUGUGUGUAUCCCUGCAAAGCCUUUCAUUGCUGGUGUCUCCUUGUUAUGGUUUUAGAUCAAGACUGAUCCCCAAAACUCUCAUGUGCUCAGAGGCAGAGCUUUUGUAAGAAGAUUGGAUCAUGGGGCUGAUUUACAGCUGACUUGCAGGGGCUACUUAAAGGUGGGUCACUGGGCUUGUGCCUGGCAGGUUAAUCUCCCUUUCUGGCUCCUUUCUCUGUCUGCUUUGGGGCUCCCUGGAUGUGAGCAGCUCUCCAUUCAGACCUUUAACUGUGGUAUUUCUGCCUUGGAGCCAGCCAGCUGGGCAAGCGGCGAGACUUUUAAAACACGAGCCAGAGAAAACCUCUUCUCCUUUAAACUGUGGGUGUCGGGUAUUACACCUCAGUGAUGAGGAAAGUGACAGGGACACCACACACACACACACACACACACACACACACACACACACACACACACUAAAUCUUCUGGUCCUUUACUAUGCUUCAGGAGCCCUUAGCUAGCUAACACUUCCCUGUGCCUGUUCUCACCCUGACUCUCCAGCUAGAGAAGGAACCUCGUCUUAUUUAUUUCUGUAAUUGUAGCAUCUCGAAUGCAACCUGCCGCAUUGCUCCAUAAAUAUUUACUGGGAUAGACUGCAUGUUACCGUAACUCACACGUGAUUAGAGCUCCAGUGUUUAAAAGGUGACAAAUGUCACUUCAUAUCAGAGUGGCACCUGUGAUCUUCACAUUAUUCACUUACGGUGCAGCAUCUACCAUUUGCUGGACUCCUCUAGACUCCGAGGAUGUGACCAAAACAAAUAAACGUCUUUGCUCUAAUGCAGCUUAUAUUUGAAUAGAGGAGAUGACAACAAACAAAUGCAAAUUGGUAAGCACGUGCCAACAUUUGGCAGAGGAAUGUUACUAGUGUGCUAAGCUGGAAGUAUUCUUCGAGGCGGCUGACACUGGUCAGAGAUCUGAGGGCAGAGCCAGUGCUAAGGUCCUGAGACAUCUUCAGCAGCUUGAGGGUGAGUGGAAAGGCCGGUGUGGUCGGUGAAGGGUAAGCAAGGAAGCCUGGGAGAAGAAGUUGAAGAGAUUCCCACCACCAGGUAGCAGAGGGACCUGCGUCCGUGGAAGGACUUCGGGUGGUGGGCAGUGUAUGGUGAGAAGCCGUUCAUUCUAACCUGGUAACCAAGUGACCAGUUCCCCCGGCUUUAAAGAGAAUAUUGUUGGGACCAUUCAAGCCUGAGACUGACAGGUGUGGAUCAAGGUCUGGGGCUGGGUUAGUUAGGCACAAGAUAGCUAAGCAAAGGCCAGAGAAAGAAGGGGCCGCCAGGCAUUGCUGACUUCCCUGUUGUCUGGUUGUGAAGGCCUGUAACACCUUCGUCACUCUGUUCUGAUCAAUUUAAUACUAUUUUGUUGUGUAUGAAUUCACUGUGUGUGAAGAUACGGACAACUACUUAGAAGAAAACAAGAAACAAUAUGAUAGACAGUGAAGAUCUCCUGUUGUCUUGCUUUGAAAUGUGUUACAUUAUUUUCUUCUGACCUGCUUUGUUCUGUUUAGUUUUACUCUCUUUAAAAUUAAAGAAAAAGGUCUGUCAGCUUA